rnacentral:rRNA from 1 species
ACACGGAGGGUGCGAGCGUUGUUCGGAAUCACUGGGCGUAAAGCGGGUGUAGGCGGUCUAGCAAGUCAGAUGUGAAAGUCCAGGGCUCAACCCUGGAAGUGCAUCUGAAACUGUUAGACUUGAGUACUGGAGAGGGAAGUGGAAUUCCUGGUGUAGGGGUGAAAUCCGUAGAUAUCAGGAGGAACACCGGUGGCGAAGGCGACUUCCUGGACAGAUACUGGCGCUCAGACCCGAAAGCGUGGGGAGCAAACAGGAUUAGAAACCCGAGUAGUCC